ACGACACGAGCAUCGAUUCCGGACGGAACAGCACCUUGGAGACAAACACCGUGAACUCAUCGGGAACCUAUGAAAAUCUCUCAAGGAAUGAACAGGGCGCAAGGCACAAUGCACAAGAUGGAAACUCCACUUACACGGGACUGGUUCUGGG